GCGGCAGGCCUAACACAUGCAAGUCGAACGCCCUAGCAAUAGGGAGUGGCAGACGGGUGAGUAACGCGUGGGAACGUGCCUUUCGGUUCGGAAUAACUCAGGGAAACUUGAGCUAAUACCGGAUACGCCCUUCGGGGGAAAGAUUUAUUGCCGAAAGAUCGGCCCGCGUCCGAUUAGCUAGUUGGUGUGGUAAUGGCGCACCAAGGCGACGAUCGGUAGCUGGUCUGAGAGGAUGAUCAGCCACACUGGGACUGAGACACGGCCCAGACUCCUACGGGAGGCAGCAGUGGGGAAUAUUGGACAAUGGGCGCAAGCCUGAUCCAGCCAUGCCGCGUGAGUGAUGAAGGCCCUAGGGUUGUAAAGCUCUUUCGCCAGGGAUGAUAAUGACGGUACCUGGAUAAGAAGCCCCGGCUAACUUCGUGCCA
rnacentral:rRNA from 1 species